UACGUAGGGCGCAAGCGUUAUCCGGAGUUACUGGGCGUAAAGGGCGCGUAGGCGGUUCGCUAAGUUGGAUGUGAAAACUCUGGGCUCAACCCAGAGCCUGCAUCCAAAACUGGCGGGCUAGAGUUCUGGAGGGGGUAGCGGAAUUCCUGGUGUAGCGGUGAAAUGCGUAGAUAUCAGGAGGAACACCGGUGGCGAAGGCGGCUACCUGGACAGAAACUGACGAUGAGGCGCGAAAGCUAGGGGAGCAAACAGG
rnacentral:rRNA from 1 species